GAUGAACGCUGGCGGCGUGCUUAACACAUGCAAGUCGAACGGAAAGGCCUCUGCUUGCAGGGGUACUCGAGUGGCGAACGGGUGAGUAACACGUGGGUGAUCUGCCCUGCACUUCGGGAUAAGCCUGGGAAACUGGGUCUAAUACCGGAUAGGACAAUGGUUUGGAUGCUGUUGUGGAAAGUUUUUCGGUGUGGGAUGAGCUCGCGGCCUAUCAGCUUGUUGGUGGGGUAAUGGCCUACCAAGGCGUCGACGGGUAGCCGGCCUGAGAGGGUGUACGGCCACAUUGGGACUGAGAUACGGCCCAGACUCCUACGGGAGGCAGCAGUGGGGAAUAUUGCACAAUGGGCGCAAGCCUGAUGCAGCGACGCCGCGUGGGGGAUGACGGCCUUCGGGUUGUAAACUCCUGUCGCUAGGGACGAAGCGUUUUUGUGACGGUACCUGGAGAAGAAGCACCGGCUAACUACGUG
rnacentral:rRNA from 1 species